UACGUAGGGGGCUAGCGUUGUCCGGAAUCAUUGGGCGUAAAGCGCGUGUAGGCGGCCCGGUAAGUCCGCUGUGAAGGUCCAGGGCUCAACCCUGGGAUGCCGGUGGAUACUGUCGGGCUCGAGUCCGGAAGAGGCGAGUGGAAUUCCUGGUGUAGCGGUGAAAUGCGCAGAUAUCAGGAGGAACACCAAUGGCGAAGGCAGCUCGCUGGGACGUGACUGACGCUGAGACGCGAAAGCGUGGGGAGCAAACAGG
rnacentral:rRNA from 1 species